GUGCCUUACUGACGCUAAAGCUCGAAGGUGCGGGUAUCGAACAGGAUUAGAUACCCUGGUAGUCCGCACGGUAAACGAUGGAUGCCCGCUGUUGGCGAUAUACUGUCAGCGGCCAAGCGAAAGCGUUAAGCAUCCCACCUGGGGAGUACGCCGGCAACGGUGAAACUCAAAGGAAUUGACGGGGGCCCGCACAAGCGGAGGAACAUGUGGUUUAAUUCGAUGAUACGCGAGGAACCUUACCCGGGCUUGAACUGCAGCAGAACGAUAGAGAGAUCUUGAGGCCCUUCGGGGCUGCUGUGGAGGUGCUGCAUGGUUGUCGUCAGCUCGUGCCGUGAGGUGUCGGCUUAAGUGCCAUAACGAGCGCAACCCCUUUCAUCAGUUGCCAUCAGGUGAUGCUGGGCACUCUGGUGAUACUGCCACCGUAAGGUGUGAGGAAGGUGGGGAUGACGUCAAAUCAGCACGGCCCUUACGUCCGGGGCUACACACGUGUUACAAUGGCCGGUACAGAGAGUCAGUGCGUCGCAAGUCGCAUUCAAUCAUGAAAGCCGGCCUCAGUUCGGAUUGGGGUCUGCAACCCGACCCCAUGAAGCUGGAUUCGCU
rnacentral:rRNA from 1 species